rnacentral:rRNA from 1 species
AUGGGCGCGCACACCCGGUCCAUGAGCUGGUACAUGGGGCAGACGGGCUCGCAGGCGCCGUCGAGCGCGGAGAACGGGGCGCAGCGCGCGCUCAGCAGCGGCGGCGGCGGCGACGCCAGCUUCGACACCAACAUGGUGAUCAUCCUCGCCGCGCUGCUCUUCGCCCUGCUCUUCGCGCUCGGGCUCAACUCCCUCGCGCGGUACGUCAUCCGGUGGGCGCGGCGCGCGUCGCUGGAGGCGUCGGGCGGCGGCGGCGGGGAGCUGGACGGCGCGGCGUCGGCGGGCGGGCAGGGCGGGCUCAAGAAGCGCACGCUCAGGAGCCUCCCCAUCGAGGUGUACGGUGCGUGCGCGGCCGCGGGCGGGGGCGCCGCGCCGGCGGACGACGUCUGCGCCAUCUGCCUCGGCGAGUUCGAGGACGGCGAGAAGGUGCGCGUGCUGCCGCGCUGCGGCCACGAGUUCCACGUCCGCUGCGUCGACACCUGGCUCGUCUCGCACGACUCCUGCCCCACGUGCCGGGACUCGGUGCUCAGCGGCGCGGCCGCCGCGCCCAAGGCCGCCGCCGGGCGCAGCAGCGGGCGGCCCGGGAGCGCCGACGCCGCGGCCGUCACGGUGGUCAUCGCCGCGUGA